rnacentral:rRNA from 1 species
GCGGUAAUUCCAGCUCCAAAAGCGUAUAUUAAAGUUGUUGCAGUUAAAAAGCUCGUAGUUGAUUUUCGACGCAUCUGAGGGGUCCACUUCGGUGCGUACUCUGAGGGUGCGUUUUCUCUGGGGCGCCUUGCGGCAAGCCAGACUGUUACUUUGAAAAAAUUAGAGUGUUCAAAGCGGGCGAUAGCUUGAAUAUAUUAGCAUGGAAUAAUAGAAUAGGACGGAUGGAUCUAUUUUGUUGGUUUCUAGAACCAUCGUAAUGAUUAAUGGGCAUCGGCGGGGGCAUCGGUAUUCAAAGUCAGAGG